GAUGAACGCUGGCGGCGUGCCUAAUACAUGCAAGUCGAGCGAACAGACGAGGAUCUUGCUCCUCUGACGUUAGCGGCGGACGGUUGAGUAACACGUGGAUAACCUACCUAUAAGACUGGGAUAACUUCGGGAAACCGGAGCUAAUACCGGAUAAUAUAUUGAACCGCAUGGUUCAAUAGUGAAAGACGGUUCUGCUGUCACUUAUAUAUGGAUCCGCGCCGCAUUAGCUAGUUGGUAAGGUAACGGCUUACCAAGGCAACGAUGCGUAGCCGACAUGGGAGGGUGAUCGGCCACGCUGGAACUGAGAAACGGUCCAGAGUCCUACGGGAGGCAGCAGUAGGGAAUCUUCCGCGAUGGGCGAAAGCCUGACGGAGCAACGCCGCGUGAGUGAUGAAGGUCUUCGGAUCGUAAAACUCUGUUAUUAGGAAAGAACAAAUGUGUAAGUAACUAUGCACGUCUUGACGGUACCUGAUCAGAAAGCCACGGCUAACUACGUG
rnacentral:rRNA from 1 species